UCCGAUAUCAUCUCUUUCCUWGUGUAAUAGAAGCUCCAAGAAGAUUCAAGAAAUUUCCUAUUCAUAUCAUCUUUCAUUAAUCCGUGGUAACCGGAAUCCGCCAUGAAUCUCAUCCUGAGAGAAGUCAGCCAACCCGUUGGCUUGAAAGAAUAGAGUGAUCAUGACAGGAAAUUCACAAAACAUUUAACAUUGAAGUCAUAUCCAGGUAUGUGCAUGAUUCUUAAGUUUGGAAUUCAAGAAAUGAAGCUCAGAAAAAUUGGGUGACCUAGCUAAGGCAGGGGUCUCAGACUUCUUUUGUUAAGAGUUUGUUUUUUAUCAUAAUUUAUCUGAAAUGAUUUUCCAUCAUCAUCACCAGUCUUCAGAAAAUACAACGUAAGAAUGUAAUCUGGGUAGACAUCUGCAAGAAACAAGUAAAUUGCUUAGUGGAAUCACCCUAAAUUCUAAAAGACCUUCUAUUUGAGUUCUGCUUCCAUCCGUUUCAGUGUCUUCAACGGGCUCUUCUGCUCUUAAUUUGUGGAUCUAGUGUCGGUGGGAUUGRUGGUCAGAAUUUGUGCCUUUUGGUCUGCACCAUCUUCAUCUGUUCCAUUUGAUUAGGUCUUCAAUGUUGCUCCUGAGAUGGUAUCUUGCAUCCCUAUUUCUGUAGUCUUGAUUGSAUCUUUGUGAACCAUUAUCAAUACAAAAUGACCAGCAAACCACGAAACUACAAACAGUCAUAAGAACUAUAAGCAACUUCAGAAGUGCAGAAAGUCUUGGCAAGAACCAAAUUGAAUACCAGGUAACAAGUUGUUAUUAAGUUGUUUAUGCCUUUCUUCCCCUAGGCACGGUUUAUGCUCACUCAUCUACCUUUCAUUUCCAA